rnacentral:rRNA from 1 species
GUAGGUGGCAAGCGUUGUCCGGAAUUAUUGGGCGUAAAGCGCGCGCAGGCGGUUCUUUAAGUCUGAUGUGAAAGCCCACGGGCUCAACCGUGGAGGGUCAUUGGAAACUGGAGAACUUGAGUACAGAAGAGGAAAGCGGAAUUCCACGUGUAGCGGUGAAAUGCGUAGAGAUGUGGAGGAACACCAGUGCCGAAGGCGGCUUUCUGGUCUGUAACUGACGCUGAGGCGCGAAAGCGUGGGGAGCAAACAGGAUUAGAUACCCUGGUAGUCCACGCCGUAAACGAUGAGUGCUAAGUGUUAGGGGGUUUCCGCCCCUUAGUGCUGCAGCUAACGCAUUAAGCACUCCGCCUGGGGAGUACGGCCGCAAGGCUG